rnacentral:rRNA from 1 species
CACCAGCCCCUCGAGUGGUGGGGACUAUUAUUUGGCCUAAAGCGUCCGUAGCUGGCUGUAUCCGUCUCCCGGUAAAUCCGGCGUCCUAAGCGUCGGUUCUCGGGUGAUACCAUACAGCUAGAGGGUGGGAUAGGUGAGCGGUAUUUCUGGGGUAGGGGCGAAAUCCUUUGAUCCCAGGAGGACCACCAGUGGCGAAGGCUGCUCACUAGAACACGCCUGACGGUCAGGGACGAAAGCUGGGGCAGCGAACCGGAUUAGAUACCCCGGUAGUCCCAGCUGUAAACGAUGCUAGCUAGGUGUUGGGUCGGCCACGCGCCGCCCCAGUGCCGCAGGGAAGCCGUUAAGCUAGCCGCCUGGGGAGUACGGCCGCAAGGCUGAAACUUAA